GGCAGGCUACAGUCCAUAGUGUCACAAAGAGUUGGACACGACUGAAGUGAGUUAGCACAUAGAUAUAUGUAUGUAUCAAACAUUUACUAAAAUAUAUCUGCCUAGGGGUUUGGAAAUCUAGAAGGAUACUUAGCAAACUGUUAACAGUCAUUACAUUUCCUUGUGUGUGUUCAGUCAGGAUGGUACAAUUUAGGGUAAUUUUCUUUUAUUUUUAAAAUAUUUGCAUAUGUUUUUCUAUAUAGGGACUGUACAUUUGUGUAAUUAGGAAAGAAUUUUUAAAAGAAAAGAAAAAAUAAGACUGAUCUUUAAAAUACUCAGUGCUUUAGUCCAAAGCUGGAAUUUAGCAAGGUUUUCUUUCUCAGUCACGGCUCCAUUGUUAAAAAUUCUAGGAUUUUUUUUUUUUUAAUCAAUUCUAGCUGUUAUCACCUCCUGUGGUAAAUGUCACGUACACUUUUAAUUGGUUUUACCCUACUAGUACCAAAUUUACUUGUACUGAUUUAGGAAAUGUAACCAAAGUGCCAUUUUAGAAAAAAUUCUCAAGAGAAAUAUUUAACUAGGUUAUAGUUUAGGCCUAAGUGUUCAGAGAUGAGAUUUUCAUUCUUUUCUCUGACCUUGUGUCAGCCAAUGGAAUGUGAAUGAUUUUUAACAGUGCAAUUUAAGGAAAUACUGCACAAACUUAAAUUACUAUGUCAGGCAAAAAAGACACACUUAUUUUCUUUAAUGAAUGACAGCAUAAGUCCCUAAAGAAUGCAAAAAGAGAAUUUUUUUAAAGUGCAUAACCAGUAAUGCUACCUACUGAGAUGUAAUUUGGGUCUUUCAUUCUUUUAAUUGCUAGUAACAUAGCUUAUACACAAAUCACAAAAAGGUAAGACUGAAAAUACUUAUUGGUUCUAUUAUAAAGAAAAUAGCUAAAUCAAAGGUAAAUGUAAGAGAGUAAAUGUUGCAAAAUAAGAAAAAUUUUAGGCUCUCACAGUUAUUUUCCUAUAUGAAUGAUAACAGUACCCCAAAUAAGUAUAAUAAAAGUAACAUCAACUAAAUUAGCUCAGAGCACUGGGCCUAUUUCUAAAUAUAGCUCUCAGCAGUCCAAAAAAUAACAAGCCACUUAGUUUCUAUACCCCUAAAUAUAGGUUUAAGAUAGGACUUGGUAUAGUCCUACAAUAUGUGAAGACUUCAUAAAUCUAAAUGUAAAUAUCCUUGUAUUCUUCUUUUCCUUCUUCGUAUAUAGCAAACACUGAAUUCAUGUUUACCUACAGUUACAAACCACCUACUGUUCUAAACACUACCCUAGGCAAAAAAAGUAAUGGUAUUAAUUUUAGCUAAUUUUCUGAUUUAUCAAUAAAAUGGGUAUUUCCAUAGUGGAAGCAAAUAUAGAGGAUUUAUCAAAUAAAUGAUGACAUUAUCAAAAAUGUAUAAGAAAUUUAAAAAUUCACAUAAGUAAGACAAACAGAAUUUAUAAAUUUUUAACUGGGAUAAAGACAUUUUUAUUUAGACAUAAAAUCAACUUUAUAAGCAAAUUUGUAUCCAACAAUUUAAAAUCCCUAAAUGGCUACUUUGCUUUGAACAAAUAGUUAACAGACUUCAAAAUAAGUCAUCAAAAAUCAGACACCCUCAAAGUUGCUGGGUGUUUUCAAUUUCCUUUUGCUUCAUUUACUAAAGAAAAAUAGCAAAAACAAUUAACUACGUUUAGUUGCCUGCAGAGGAAGUCAGUCAACAAGUAAAAGCUAUGCCUCUGGAGUGAAUGUGGUUGCGUAACUGUUGAAUGUAAGUAUCAAAGCUGGACAAUGCAAUCUAAUGAUGGUUCAUACAAACUAACAGGAGUAUAGAACACAUCUUGUCUUGGCUCUGAGCCUCCAACAUAAUCUGUUUCUUGAAAUCUGUGUUUUUGUCUAAGUAUAUCCAAUAUAGCUUUUUAAAAAGAGACAGAAAAUAGUUGUGGGAGAAAACAUCACUUAAAAAAUCUUGUAAGACCAGCAAAAUUCCUAUUAUUCCAUUUCCUUGGAGUAAAACCAAACUGGCAUGUUGGAAAUGUCUUGUCUUCAAAGAGCCAAUGUUCAACACCAUUUAGCAAGUAAGAAGAAUGAUAAAUAUGUAUUGAGCGUUCCAUGGCACUUCAUAGGAUUUAAAACUGCUAUGCCUACAUUUAUUCCUAAGAAAAACAAUAAAUAUGUAUUGAGUGGUAUUGGCAUGUCUUAGGAUUUAAAACUCCUAUGCUUAUAUUUAUUCCUUCUAUAAUAAGUGAAUAUGAUUUUAAUUAAAGUACCCUAAAGCAAUUUGAUAUUGUUCCAAAAUGUUAUAUUGGUGGGUUGUCAGAAUUGUUUUUUAGGUAAAGGGCAUUUUAAUUUUUUUUGGCCAUGGCCUGCAGUAUGUGGGAUCUUAGUUCCCUGACCAGGGGUUGAACCUCUGUCUCCUGCAUUGGGAGCACAGAGUCUUAAACACUGGACUGCUGGGGAACUCCUGGUAAAGGGUACUUUUAAAUGCUGGUGUUAUGAAUAUGCUUAAGAGAAAAUUUAGUGAAAUAAUCAAAAGAUUUUUAGAUCUCACACAAUAAUAAAAAGCACUUUUAAAUAAUCAAGGACUCUCAUGUCACCAUCAUAGGUAUCUCAGUUGAAAAAGAUGUUAAUUGACACCAUAGUUUUAGUUUGAGCUGACAAGUAUCACAAUUAGAGGCUCAACAAGGAUGCACUUUGGGCCAAAGAGCCAAAUAUAUAAAGAACACUCAAGCACAGCUUUUUAAAAAAUGACAUUUUUAUUUAAAAUAUUUCACAAUGUGAAAUUAUAUUUCCCAGAGAAUGCUGAGCAAAUCAUGUAGCAAACAGCCUUUUUCUCAUUUUUAUUUAACAGUAUACAGAAUCCCCCUGCCAAUGAAGGAGACUCGGGUUCUAUCCCCGGGUCGGGAAGAUCCCCUGGAGAAUGAAACUGGGUCACAAAAGAGUGGAACACAACUUAGCGACUGAACGACAACAGAUUCUUCCACACCACGUGUCACAAUACCAUGUGAUCUGACUUCUGCCCACACUGCAUGCCUGAAACAGUACUUUCAGGGCAGAAAGACAGAGUGAUUAAGAACACGGUUCCUAAAAUCAGACAAUCCCUGAAAGGAUCCUGGCACGCAGCUGGCAUACUGAAGAUUAUUUAAAUACAAUCAAGGGUUGAGUCCACCUGAGGGAGCUGUUAAAAUCUCUGUGAGGCCCGAUAUCCAUGGAUUCCAAGUGAAGCCUGGAGAUUAGCUAGCGUCCCUCCUCUUUGUUGUCUUGAAAGAUACGUUGCACCUAAAGGACUCUUUGAUGCUUUUGAACUGUGGUGUUGGAGAAGACUCUUGAGAGUCCCUUGAACUGCAAGGAGAUCAAACCAGUUAA